rnacentral:rRNA from 1 species
CCUACGGGAGGCAGCAGUGAGGAAUAUUGGUCAAUGGUCGGGAGACUGAACCAGCCAAGCCGCGUGAGGGAGGAAGGUACAGAGUAUCGUAAACCUCUUUUGUCAGGGAACAAAGGCGGGGACGUGUCCCCGGCUGAGUGUACCUGAAGAAAAAGCAUCGGCUAACUCCGUGCCAGCAGCCGCGGUAAUACGGAGGAUGCGAGCGUUAUCCGGAUUUAUUGGGUUUAAAGGGUGCGCAGGCGGUCUGUUAAGUCAGCGGUCAAAGCCCGGGGCUCAACCCCGGCCAGCCGUUGAAACUGGCAGUCUCGAGUUGGAGAGAAGUAUGCGGAAUGCGUGGUGUAGCGGUGAAAUGCAUAGAUAUCGCGCAGAACUCCGAUUGCGAAGGCAGCAUGCCGGCUCCACACUGACGCUGAGGCACGAAAGCGUGGGUAUCGAACAGGAUUAGAUACCCGUGUAGUC